rnacentral:misc_RNA from 1 species
AAAAAUCAAGGUGGUUAUGAUUUAUUGGGACGGACCAAGGAUCAAAUUCGAACAAAAGAGCAGGUUAAUGCUGCACUUAAGACAUGCUUAGAUUUGAAACUGGAUGGUCUUGUCAUAAUUGGCGGAGUGACGUCAAACACUGAUGCUGCUCAACUUGCCGAAACCUUUGCUGAAGCUAAAUGCCCCACAAAGGUUGUAGGAGUUCCUGUUACUUUGAAUGGCGAUCUCAAGAAUCAGUUUGUUGAAACAAAUGUUG